UACAAAAGCUUUAGCUUCAAACACUCUACCAUCAACAUACACCCCUUUAUAUCUCUCUUUCUAUCUCUCGUCCUCUCCCUGUCUUUGAUGGCUGAGACUAUCAAACUCACAAACAAGGGCCUAAAGUCUAAAUUAAACUUUCAAGUUCAAGUUUCAUCAUCCUAACAUUUUGUUCCAUCCAUUACAAAUGGGCACGAGGAGGUUAGUUCAUGUAGACAAGGACUUUGCUAUUUGCUACUUGCUUUGACACAUUUGUUUGCACAUCAGGACCUUAGGUAUACUUGGAGCUUGCACCAGAGGAGAGGCGGGUCGUUGUGGACAAGAACUCGUGAAUGCUUAUUAAACACUUUUACAUUCACACAUUGAUACUUAUGAUUUGGGUUUUACAUUUAAUGCUUCCGCUACUUAAACAGUGUUUGGUUUUGAACAUCAAUUAUGUCUUU
rnacentral:lncRNA from 1 species